rnacentral:rRNA from 1 species
GAUGAACGCUGGCGGCGUGCCUAAUACAUGCAAGUCGAGCGAACAGACGAGGAGCUUGUUCCUCUGACGUUAGCGGCGGACGGGUGAGUAACACGUGGAUAACCUACCUAUAAGACUGGGAUAACUUCGGGAAACCGGAGCUAAUACCGGAUAAUAUAUUGAACCGCAUGGUUCAAUAGUGAAAGACGGUUUUGCUGUCACUUAUAGAUGGAUCCGCGCCGCAUUAGCUAGUUGGUAAGGUAACGGCUUACCAAGGCAACGAUGCGUAGCCGACCGGAGAGGGUGAUCGGCCACACGGGAACUGAGACACGGUCCAGACUCCUACGGGAGGCAGCAGAAGGGAAUCUUCCGCAAUGGGCGAAAGCUUGACGGAGCAACGCGGCGUGAGUGAUAAAGGUCUUCGGAUCGUAAAACUCGGUUAUUAGGUAAGAACAAAUUUGGAAUGAACUGUGCACGUCGUGACGGUACCUAAUCAGAAAGCCACGGCUAACUACGUG